rnacentral:misc_RNA from 1 species
GAUGAAGAACGUAGCGAAAUGCGAUAAGUAAUGUGAAUUGCAGAAUUCAGUGAAUCAUCGAAUCUUUGAACGCACAUUGCGCCCGCCAGCACUCUGGCGGGCAUGCCUGUUCGAGCGUCAUUUCAACCAUCAAGCCCCCAGGGGCUUGUGCUGGGGCCCUGCGGCUGCCCGCAGGCCCUGAAAACCAGUGGCGGGCUCGCUAGUCACACCGAGCGCAGUAGCACAUCUCGCUCAGGGCGUGCGGCGGGCUCCUGCCGUGAAACCCCCCACUGUAACCCCAAAGGUUGACCUCGGAUCAGGUAGGAAUACCCGCUGAAAUUAAGCAUAUCAAUAAGCGGAGGA